rnacentral:rRNA from 1 species
AGAGUUUGAUCAUGGCUCAGAUUGAACGCUGGCGGCAUGCCUUACACAUGCAAGUCGAACGGUAACAGGUCUUCGGAUGCUGACGAGUGGCGAACGGGUGAGUAAUACAUCGGAACGUGCCCGAUCGUGGGGGAUAACGAGGCGAAAGCUUUGCUAAUACCGCAUACGAUCUACGGAUGAAAGCGGGGGAUCUUCGGACCUCGCGCGGACGGAGCGGCCGAUGGCAGAUUAGGUAGUUGGUGGGAUAAAAGCUUACCAAGCCGACGAUCUGUAGCUGGUCUGAGAGGAUGAUCAGCCACACUGGGACUGAGACACGGCCCAGACUCCUACGGGAGGCAGCAGUGGGGAAUUUUGGACAAUGGGCGAAAGCCUGAUCCAGCCAUGCCGCGUGCAGGAUGAAGGCCUUCGGGUUGUAAACUGCUUUUGUACGGAACGAAAAGCCUCUUUCUAAUAAAGAGGGGUCAUGACGGUACCGUAAGAAUAAGCACCGGCUAACUACGUGCCAGCAGCCGCGGUAAUACGUAGGGUGCAAGCGUUAAUCGGAAUUACUGGGCGUAAAGCGUGCGCAGGCGGUUUUGUAAGACAGAGGUGAAAUCCCCGGGCUCAACCUGGGAACUGCCUUUGUGACUGCAAGGCUGGAGUGCGGCAGAGGGGGAUGGAAUUCCGCGUGUAGCAGUGAAAUGCGUAGACAUGCGGAGGAACACCGAUGGCGAAGGCAAUCCCCUGGGCCUGCACUGACGCUCAUGCACGAAAGCGUGGGGAGCAAACAGGAUUAGAUACCCCGGUA